AUUGAACGCUGGCGGCAUGCCUUACACAUGCAAGUCGAACGGUAACAGGUCUUCGGACGCUGACGAGUGGCGAACGGGUGAGUAAUACAUCGGAACGUGCCCAGUCGUGGGGGAUAACUACUCGAAAGAGUAGCUAAUACCGCAUACGAUCUGAGGAUGAAAGCGGGGGACCUUCGGGCCUCGCGCGAUUGGAGCGGCCGAUGGCAGAUUAGGUAGUUGGUGGGAUAGAAGCUUACCAAGCCGACGAUCUGUAGCUGGUCUGAGAGGACGACCAGCCACACUGGGACUGAGACACGGCCCAGACUCCUACGGGAGGCAGCAGUGGGGAAUUUUGGACAAUGGGCGAAAGCCUGAUCCAGCAAUGCCGCGUGCAGGAUGAAGGCCUUCGGGUUGUAAACUGCUUUUGUACGGAACGAAAAGACUCUGGUUAAUACCUGGGGUCCAUGACGGUACCGUAAGAAUAAGCACCGGCUAACUACGUGCCAGCAGCCGCAGUAAAAC
rnacentral:rRNA from 1 species